UACAGAGGUCCCGAGCGUUGCUCGGAAUCACUGGGCGUAAAGCGCACGUAGGCGGCUUUCUAAGUCAGGGGUGAAAUCCUGGAGCUCAACUCCAGAACUGCCUUUGAUACUGGAGAGCUUGAGUCCGGGAGAGGUGAGUGGAACUCCGAGUGUAGAGGUGAAAUUCGUAGAUAUUCGGAAGAACACCAGUGGCGAAGGCGGCUCACUGGCCCGGUAC
rnacentral:rRNA from 1 species